rnacentral:rRNA from 1 species
AUUGAACGCUGGCGGCAGGCCUAACACAUGCAAGUCGAGCGGAGCGGCGGACGGGUGAGUAAUGCCUAGGACUCUGCCUGGAAGGGGGGGAUAACGUCCGGAAACGGGCGCUAAUACCGCAUACUAUCAGAUGAGCCUAGGUAGGAUUAGCUAGUUGGUGGGGUAAAGGACUACCAAGGCGACGAUCCGUAACUGGUCUGAGAGGAUUCUCAGUCACACUUGAAUUGAGCCACCGUCCAGACUCCUACGGGAUGCAGCAGUGGGGAAUUUUGGCCAAAUGGCGUAAUCCUGAUCCUGCCAUGGCGCAUGUGUGAAGAAGGUCUUCGGAUUGUAGUGCACUUUAAGUUUGAAUGCGUUACCAACAGAAUAAGCACCGGCUAACUUCGUGCCAGCAGCCGCGGUGAUUC